UGGGGAAUUUUGGACAAUGGGCGCAAGCCUGAUCCAGCAAUGCCGCGUGCAGGAUGAAGGCCUUCGGGUUGUAAACUGCUUUUGUACAGAACGAAACGAAAAUCUCUAAUACAGAUUUUUAAUGACGGUACUGUAAGAAUAAGCACCGGCUAACUACGUGCCAGCAGCCGCGGUAAUACGUAGGGUGCAAGCGUUAAUCGGAAUUACUGGGCGGAAAGCGUGCGCAGGCGGCUAUGCAAGACCGAUGUGAAAUCCCCGGGCUCAACCUGGGAACUGCAUUAGUGACUGCAUAGCUGGAGUGCGGCAGAGGGGGAUGGAAUUCCGCGUGUAGCAGUGAAAUGCGUAGAUAUGCGGAGGAACACCGAUGGCGAAGGCAAUCCCCUGGGCCUGCACUGACGCUCAUGCACGAAAGCGUGGGGAGCAAACA
rnacentral:rRNA from 1 species